rfam:TPA: Bos taurus chromosome 22, whole genome shotgun sequence.
UCUCUGGUGGUCCGGUGGCUAAGACUCUGCGCUAUCAAUGCAGGGGGCCUGGGGUCGAUUCCUGGUCAGGGAA